GCCCGAUGAACCUGAAUAUCCGUUAUGGAAAAUUCAUCAUUAAAAUUAUGUUAUUUAAAUAAUAUUAUAAUGAUAGUGUGCAUUUUUUCCAUAUAAGGACAUUGUAAUCUAUUAGCAUACUAAAUUUAUCAAAAAAUUAUGUCAUUAUGUUUAUUUCAAUUAUAAUGCUUGCAUAUUAACAUAAAAUAAAAGUCGUAAAUUUGAUAAAGUGCUGAUAGAUUUAUAAGAUUACAGUGCGUUAAUUUUUCGGAAUUAUAUAAUGGCAUAAAUAUCAUUGAUUUUUGUGUUUAUUAUAUGCACUUGUAUGAUUAACAAUGCGAAAGAUUCAGGAUACUUCGGG
rnacentral:rRNA from 1 species